rnacentral:rRNA from 1 species
GACGAACGCUGGCGGCGUGCUUAACACAUGCAAGUCGAACGGGAAGGCCCUGCUUUUGUGGGGUGCUCGAGUGGCGAACGGGUGAGUAACACGUGAGUAACCUGCCCUUGACUUUGGGAUAACUUCAGGAAACUGGGGCUAAUACCGGAUAGGAGCUCCUGCUGCAUGGUGGGGGUUGGAAAGUUUCGGCGGUUGGGGAUGGAAUCGCGGCUUAUCAGCUUGUUGGUGGGGUAGUGGCUUACCAAGGCUUUGACGGGUAGCCGGCCUGAGAGGGUGACCGGCCACAUUGGGACUGAGAUACGGCCCAGACUCCUACGGGAGGCAGCAGUGGGGAAUAUUGCACAAUGGGCUGAAGCCUGAUGCAGCAACGCCGCGUGCGGGAUGACGGCCUUCGGGUUGUAAACCGCUUUCGCCUGUGACGAAGCGUGAGUGACGGUAAUGGGUAAAGAAGCACCGGCUAACUACGUG